CAGCGCCACGAGUGGCAAUCGUAUAUUUGGCCUAAAGCGUCCGUAGCCGGUUUGGCAAAUCUUCUGUGAAACUGUACAGCUCAACUGUACAACGUGCAGAAGACACUACCAAGCUUGGAACCGGGAGGGGUACAGAGUAUUCCAGGGGAAGCGGUAAAAUGCUACAAUCCCUGGAGGACUACCUAUGGCGAAGGCACUGUACCAGAACGGAUUCGACGGUGAGGGACGAAAGCCAGGGGAGCGAUCCGGAUUAGAGACCCGAGUAGUCC
rnacentral:rRNA from 1 species